GGAGGGGUGCAAGCGUUAUCCGGAAUUAUUGGGCGUAAAGAGUCCGUAGGCGGUUUUAUAAGUAGAAUAUCAAAGACCAGAGCUUAACCCUGGGAAGGUGUUCUAAACUGGUAGAAUAGAGUAAUGCAGGGGCAAGUGGAAUUCUGUGUGUAGGGGUAAUAUCCGUAGAUAUACAGAGGAACACCAAAAGCGAAAGCAGCUUGCUGGGCAUUUACUGACGUUCAAGGACGAAAGCGUGGGUAGCGAACAGGAUUAGAUACCCUGGUAGUCCACGCCCUAAACGAUGAUCACUCGUUGUUGGAGACUUCGAUCUCUUCAGUGACUAAGCUAACGCUUUAAGUGAUCCGCCUGGGUAGUACGGCCGCAAGGCUA
rnacentral:rRNA from 1 species